rnacentral:rRNA from 1 species
UACGUAGGUCCCGAGCGUUGUCCGGAUUUACUGGGUGUAAAGGGAGCGUAGACGGAAUUGCAAGUCCGAUGUGAAAAUCCGGGGCCCAACCCCGGAACUGCAUUGGAAACUGUAUUUCUAGAGUGUCGGAGAGGCAAGUGGAAUUCCUGGUGUAGCGGUGAAAUGCGUAGAUAUCAGGAGGAACACCAGUGGCGAAGGCGGCUUGCUGGACGAUGACUGACGUUGAGGCUCGAAAGCGUGGGGAGCAAACAGG